GGGGAAUAUUGGACAAUGGGGGCAACCCUGAUCCAGCCAUGCCGCGUGUGUGAAGAAGGCCUUCGGGUUGUAAAGCACUUUAAGUGGGGAGGAAGGCUCGCUGAUUAAUAAUCAGCGGGAGUGACGUUACCCACAGAAUAAGCACCGGCAAACUCCGUGCCAGCAGCCGCGGUAAUACGGAGGGUGCGAGCGUUAAUCGGAAUUACUGGGCGUAAAGCGCACGUAGGCGGUUUGUUAAGUCGGAUGUGAAAUCCCUGGGCUCAACCUGGGAGCUGCAUUCGAUACUGGCAGACUUGAAUACGGUAGAGGGGGGUGGAAUUCCAGGUGUAGCGGUGAAAUGCGUAGAGAUCUGGAGGAACACCAGUGGCGAAGGCGGCCCCCUGGACCGAUAUUGACGCUGAGGUGCGAAAGCGUGGGGAGCAAAC
rnacentral:rRNA from 1 species